rnacentral:rRNA from 1 species
GCUCCUACCGAUUGGAUGACUCGGUGAAAUCACCAGAUCCUGCGGGAAAAGGUGCUUAAAUCACGUUAUCUAGAGGAAGGAGAAGUCGUAACAAGGUAACG